rnacentral:rRNA from 1 species
UACGGAGGGACCGAGCGUUGUCCGGAAUCAUUGGGCGUAAAGAGCGUGUAGGCGGCCACUUAAGUCCUGCGUGAAAUCUUGCGGCUCAACCGCAAGCGGUCGUGGGAAACUGGGUGGCUAGAGUGCGGGAGAGGAGAGUGGAAUUCCUGGUGUAGCGGUGGAAUGCGCAGAUAUCAGGAAGAACACCCGUGGCGAAGGCGGCUCUCUGGAACGCAACUGACGCUGAGACGCGAAAGCGUGGGGGGCAAACAGG